rnacentral:snRNA from 1 species
GUGCUUGCUUCAAAAGCACAUAUACUAAAAUUGGAAUGACACAGAGAAGAUUAGCAUGGCCCCUGGGGGGAAAAAAAGUAGACCAUUUUAU